rnacentral:rRNA from 1 species
CCUGAUCCAGCCAUGCCGCGUGCGGGAAGAAGGCCGUUCGGGUUGUAAACCGCUUUUUUCGGGGAAGAAACGUCGCGACCUAAUACGUCGCGGUAAUGACGGUACCUGAAGAAUAAGCACCGGCUAACUACGUGCCAGCAGCCGCGGUAAUACGUAGGGUGCAAGCGUUAAUCGGAAUUACUGGGCGUAAAGCGUGCGCAGGCGGUCAUGCAAGACAGAUGUGAAAUCCCCGAGCUCAACUUGGGAACUGCAUUUGUGACUGCAUGGCUUGAGUGCGGCAGAGGGGGGAUGGAAUUCCGCGUGUAGCAGUGAAAUGCGUAGAUAUGCGGAGGAACACCGAUGGCGAAGGCAAUCCCCUGGGCCUGCACUGACGCUCAUGCACGAAAGCGUGGGGAGCAAACAGGAUUAGAUACCCUGGUAGUCCACGCCCUAAACGAUGUCAACUGGUUGUUGGAGGGGUUUCUCUUCAGUAACGAAGCUAACGCGUGAAGUUGACCGCCUGGGGAGUACGGCC